ensembl:ncRNA C07A12.14 ncRNA
CUGUUAUUUUCUCACUUCCUCCUCUCGAGCACUCUUACCUUCCCCGCCAUACUUGAGCUACUGUAAUGCAUUGUCCAAUCGCUGCUAUGUAUGCUUUUUCGCUACUUUUAAACAGUAUCAAGUGAGGGUGUAAAUACCUGGUUGGUGUCAGCCGGCGACGACCUUCUUGUCUCCGGAGAGAAGAGCUGCGUCUGAAUACCUUUUCGAGUGUUGUACGCAAAACUUUUCAAGUAGUGGAGGUCUUGGUAGCCCAUCCUACUUGUUCAUCUAUGAGCGCUCUUUCA